rnacentral:rRNA from 1 species
GACAGAGGGUGCAAACGUUGUUCGGAAUUACUGGGCGUAAAGGGCUCGUAGGCGGCCAACUAAGUCAGACGUGAAAUCCCUCGGCUUAACCGGGGAACUGCGUCUGAUACUGGAUGGCUUGAGUUUGGGAGAGGGAUGCGGAAUUCCAGGUGUAGCGGUGAAAUGCGUAGAUAUCUGGAGGAACACCGGUGGCGAAGGCGGCAUCCUGGACCAACACUGACGCUGAGGAGCGAAAGCCAGGGGAGCAAACGGG